AAGUAUUCCACGUUAGCCAGGCCUGACGGUGCACACCUGUAGCUCCGGCACUGGGGAAGCUUGGGAAAGAGGAUGAAGAACUCAAGGAGACAGGCUGGAGUGCUAGCUCAGCAGAAAAAGAGCACUUGCUGCAGAGAAUCUGGGUGCAGUUCCCAGGGCCCACAUGGCAGCUCACAGCCAUGCAUAACUCCGCUCCAGGGGAUCCAGGGUUCUGGCUUUGAAAGGCUCCAGACAGGCUCAUGGUGUGCAGACACACAUGCAAGCAGAACUCUCAUACACAGAAACCUGGAAUCUUUAAAGUUCAUGGAGAGCUGUGGCAAUGCAGCAAGUCCCAGCUGUGGUGAGUCCUUCCUUGUGUGUGUUCUGUCCUCUGUGUAUAUGCUUUUAAACUUGUUAGUGUCGGAGGGUCCACUAGGAUUUCAUUUGCAUUUGAUAGGAACAAAUACAUUGUGUGUGUGUGGGGGGGGGAUAGUGGUUUCUGUUAACAUUCAUUUAUUUUGUUAAAAAAAAAAAAACUCAAAAAUUACUAGAAAUAAAUUAUUCCAGACUGACCACGUACCUGUGCAGUAGGCAUCCUGCAGGCCUGGGAAGUAAACUAGUACAGGGGUCAUGACCUUGAGAAACUCAUUUUGAUUUAUAAAGUACAGAGAUUUUAGUUUAAGGAAUCAAAAUCUGAUUAAAAAGGAAAUGGCUAGGCUGGGCAUGGUGGCACAUGUCUUUAAUCCCAGCACUCAGGAGGCAGAGGCAGGCGGAUUUCUGAGUUCGAGGCCAGCCUGGUCUACAAAGUGAGUUCCAGGAUAGCCAGGGCUACACAGAGAAACCCUGUCUCGAACUCCCCUUCCCCCCAAAAAAAAGGGAGUGGCUAAAUGUUUUACUAGCAAUCUACCCUACAUAUGCUAACCUGACUACACAUUCUAAAUGGAAUGUCUAGCAAUGUGAGUUGUACACUUGUAAUCCAGCACUCGAGAGGCUGAGGCAGGAGUAUCAAGAGCUUGAAGCCAGCCUUGCACCAUCUGUUAGUCUCCUACAAUGGACACACGCACGCCUAUGUGGGUUUGUAUGGGUAACAUUUUCUAGAUCUUUCUUGUUUCAGGGACUAUAAGAGUCUUACAUGUAAUAUUUCAAGACCAGCAGAGAAGCUAACAAAAUUGACCUGAGUAUGUGUAACAGUGAUGUAGGAACAAUAUUUGAACACAGGCAGAACAUGCACUCUUUAUUUGGUUAUGAUAAUACAUGUGUAGUACCUGCAGUAAGUACCCCCAAAACAUUCAGGUUCGUAAUAAAAACUUGUAUUUGUUUAAAAAAAGAAAGAAAGAACUGCCAGGUGUAACAGCACACCUUUUUAUGCUCAGGAGGCAGAGGCAGGCAGGUCACUUGAUGCUCAAGACAAGCCUGCUCUUCAUAGCAAGUUCCAAGCUAUCCAGAGCUGCACAGUUAGCACUCAAAAAGAAAACAAAAAGGAAGGAAGAGAAAGUAGGAAUGUCCAAUUAGUGAUGAAAGUUAAUUAAUGUAGCAGUAGCUUGGGGUUUUCAAAGUCAGAAAUUCCUUUUUUGACUCUAAGCCGGUCUCUCUUAAGACGUUCAGUUCGCAUACUAACCUCCUCCUUUCCCCAGGCACAGACUUAAAAGAUCUGGAACAAGGGGGCACUUUCUCUUUAGAAUGUGGACUCGGGACAGGGGAGGAGUUUGUCUUUCGCUGUUAAAACACGGUCAACUGACUGCUGAGACUUUCCCUAGAAUUCUUUUAGAAACAGAGUUUUCUUUGUGCAGAAGAGGAGAGACACUCCGUGAGCUGCUGAGGGAGGUAAGUGCCUGUGCUGUGCACAGCACCUCUGUGCCGCUUCCACUGCUGUGUGUGUGUUACUCUGUAAACCUGGUGUUACUUUAAUAAACUGUUGUCU
rnacentral:lncRNA from 1 species